UGGGGAAUAUUGCACAAUGGGCGCAAGCCUGAUGCAGCCAUGCCGCGUGUGUGAAGAAGGCCUUCGGGUUGUAAAGCACUUUCAGCGGGGAGGAAGGCGGUGAGGUUAAUAACCUCACCGAUUGACGUUACCCGCAGAAGAAGCACCGGCUAACUCCGUGCCAGCAGCCGCGGUAAUACGGAGGGUGCAAGCGUUAAUCGGAAUUACUGGGCGUAAAGCGCACGCAGGCGGUCUGUCAAGUCGGAUGUGAAAUCCCCGGGCUCAACCUGGGAACUGCAUUCGAAACUGGCAGGCUAGAGUCUUGUAGAGGGGGGUAGAAUUCCAGGUGUAGCGGUGAAAUGCGUAGAGAUCUGGAGGAAUACCGGUGGCGAAGGCGGCCCCCUGGACAAAGACUGACGCUCAGGUGCGAAAGCGUGGGCAGCAAACAGG
rnacentral:rRNA from 1 species